ensembl:snRNA U2 U2 spliceosomal RNA
AUCGCUUCUCGGCCUUUUGGCUAAGAUCAAGUGUAGUAUCUGUUCUUAUCAGUUUAAUAUGAGGAAUUUUUAUGAGUGUGAGGGCAAAGGGCAACAGAAUAUACAGGUCCACCUGCUCUGACUAAUGAUCUGACUUGUAGUAGAUUUUAUGCUAGUGGAAGCUAAGCUUU